UGGGGAAUAUUGCACAAUGGGCGCAAGCCUGAUGCAGCAACGCCGCGUGAGGGACGACGGCCUUCGGGUUGUAAACCUCUUUUAGCAGGGAAGAAGCGAAAGUGACGGUACCCGCAGAAGAAGCACCGGCCAACUACGUGCCAGCAGCCGCGGUAAUACGUAGGGUGCGAGCGUUGUCCGGAAUUAUUGGGCGUAAAGGGCUCGUAGGCGGUUUGUCACGUCGGGAGUGAAAACUCAGGGCUCAACCCUGAGCCUGCUUCCGAUACGGGCAGACUAGAGGUAUGCAGGGGAGAACGGAAUUCCUGGUGUAGCGGUGAAAUGCGCAGAUAUCAGGAGGAACACCGGUGGCGAAGGCGGUUCUCUGGGCAUUACCUGACGCUGAGGAGCGAAAGUGUGGGGAGCGAA
rnacentral:rRNA from 1 species